UGAGGGAUUCAUGUCAUGGAGACUGCGGCAGAAAGCGGCGACCUGCUCUGUGCUCUUUAAAGGAAAAAAGGAAGACAAAAGAGACAGGGAGAUGAGCCUUGUAUCAUCGCAGACCAGAGGCAGCAGCAGGUGUGGUACGUUUGAUAAAAAAUAAUAGAGCUUGUUUUUUGGGUGGUUGUGGUGGUGUGUGUGUGUGUGUGUGUUUUUUUUUUUUUUGGGUAGUGGGUUCAUGUAGUGCUUUUAGUUUUCCUAACGAUGCUGUUUAAAUCUUUUAUUAUUAUUAUUAUUAUUAUUUUUGAUCACAGGCACAUGGAAUUGUUCAACUGUGUCUAAAUAACAAAAAUAAAGAAGCCAUCAGCAGUUUAGAAGAGCCUAUUAAUCCAAGAUGAAAUAAGUAGAUGUGUUUUAGGAUCUCUAGUUCAGAGCUCAUCAUCACACACAAGAGGAGUGUUAUAAUUGCCUCUGACUGCCACCUUCUGCCUGUGCUUCAGAUCCAACUAAUUAUCCCCUGCUUAGUUUUGUUCUUUAAGGCGUCUGUGACCAUAAGAAAGAAAGAAAAAU